UACGUAGGGUGCGAGCGUUGUCCGGAAUUAUUGGGCGUAAAGGGCUCGUAGGCGGUUUGUCACGUCGGGAGUGAAAACUCAGGGCUUAACCCUGAGCCUGCUUCCGAUACGGGCAGACUAGAGGUAUGCAGGGGAGAAUGGAAUUCCUGGUGUAGCGGUGAAAUGCGUAGAUAUCAGGAGGAAUACCUAUGGCGAAAGCAGGUAUCUGGGCCAUCACUGACGCUGAGCUGCGAAAGCUAGGGGAGCAAACAGG
rnacentral:rRNA from 1 species